UGAAACCCUGUACCAAAGGGUUCGUUUGAUACCAUGCAGUACCAAAGACGUACAAACUAUACUGAUUUAUUAAUCAAAGGUAAACUGAGAUGCGUUUCAGAUUCUAGCAACUGCAGAGGGCACAUCAUUUUGCGAGAAUAAGACUGAAAUGCUGACAAUUCGCCUAUCGCCCAUAUUGGGUUAUGCUCCGCCCAUUUAUGCUAAUUAGCUAUUACCACGGAGACUCAGACAAACAAAGCGAAAAAGAUGGCGACCGCCAAGCCUUAUCGAGCGUCAAGUUUGUCUGAUCUGCCAAACAAUUUUCAGUUGGGGUAUCUUAGUUGUGAAAUUUCUUUGAAAUGCAAGCAGACUGGUUUCAAAUAUUUCAGCGAGGGAUACAUUCAUAAUGUGAAAAUGUUAAAACACAUCGCUGAGCAGACAGUUAACAUCUCCGCGAAAUGUCACAGAAGUCAGAGGAAGAACGAGAUCCCACACAGUGUUGAGAUCGAUAUAAAUGGAGGACAGAUAGAACUUUCCAACUGUUCAUGCACUGCAGGGAAGAUCCAAGUAAAAGAAUAAGAUAUUUCAUAUCUGAACAGCUUAAAAGGUUAUCCUAUCAGCUACCUAGCACACAACACAGCAGUCAUGUAGGACAUAAGUUAUGGACCCUUUCCACUUGGAAAUGCAUUAAGUACUCAAGCAGACUUUUAUUCAGAGAGAGAUAGUUCCAGUGGAAACCGUUUGUGGAGAUUAAGUUUUUCUGAAAGAAAAUGUUCAAUCUGUUUUAUCAGAAAAAUACCACCUUUUGAU